UAGUUUGAUCCUGGCUCAGGACGAACGCUGGCGGCGUGCUUAACACAUGCAAGUCGAACGAUGAUGCCCAGCUUGCUGGGUGGAUUAGUGGCGAACGGGUGAGUAACACGUGAGUAACCUGCCCCUGACUCUGGGAUAAGCGUUGGAAACGACGUCUAAUACUGGAUAUGAUCACUGGCCGCAUGGUCUGGUGGUGGAAAGAUUUUUUGGUUGGGGAUGGACUCGCGGCCUAUCAGCUUGUUGGUGAGGUAAUGGCUCACCAAGGCGACGACGGGUAGCCGGCCUGAGAGGGUGACCGGCCACACUGGGACUGAGACACGGCCCAGACUCCUACGGGAGGCAGCAGUGGGGAAUAUUGCACAAUGGGCGAAAGCCUGAUGCAGCAACGCCGCGUGAGGGAUGACGGCCUUCGGGUUGUAAACCUCUUUUAGUAGGGAAGAAGCGAAAGUGACGGUACCUGCAGAAAAAGCACCGGCUAACUACGUGCCAGCAGCCGCGGUAAUACGUAGGGUGCAAGCGUUGUCCGGAAUUAUUGGGCGUAAAGAGCUCGUAGGCGGUUUGUCGCGUCUGCUGUGAAAUCCCGAGGCUCAACCUCGGGCUUGCAGUGGGUACGGGCAGACUAGAGUGCGGUAGGGGAGAUUGGAAUUCCUGGUGUAGCGGUGGAAUGCGCAGAUAUCAGGAGGAACACCGAUGGCGAAGGCAGAUCUCUGGGCCGUAACUGACGCUGAGGAGCGAAAGCAUGGGGAGCGAACAGGAUUAGAUACCCUGGUAGUCCAUGCCGUAAACGUUGGGCGCUAGAUGUAGGGACCUUUCCACGGUUUCUGUGUCGUAGCUAACGCAUUAAGCGCCCCGCCUGGGGAGUACGGCCGCAAGGCUAAAACUCAAAGGAAUUGACGGGGGCCCGCACAAGCGGCGGAGCAUGCGGAUUAAUUCGAUGCAACGCGAAGAACCUUACCAAGGCUUGACAUACACCGGAAACGGCCAGAGAUGGUCGCCCCCUUGUGGUCGGUGUACAGGUGGUGCAUGGUUGUCGUCAGCUCGUGUCGUGAGAUGUUGGGUUAAGUCCCGCAACGAGCGCAACCCUCGUUCUAUGUUGCCAGCGGGUUAUGCCGGGGACUCAUAGGAGACUGCCGGGGUCAACUCGGAGGAAGGUGGGGAUGACGUCAAAUCAUCAUGCCCCUUAUGUCUUGGGCUUCACGCAUGCUACAAUGGCCGGUACAAAGGGCUGCGAUACCGUAAGGUGGAGCGAAUCCCAAAAAGCCGGUCUCAGUUCGGAUUGAGGUCUGCAACUCGACCUCAUGAAGUCGGAGUCGCUAGUAAUCGCAGAUCAGCAACGCUGCGGUGAAUACGUUCCCGGGCCUUGUACACACCGCCCGUCAAGUCAUGAAAGUCGGUAACACCCGAAGCCGGUGGCCUAACCCUUGUGGAAGGAGCCGUCGAAGGUGGGAUCGGUGAUUAGGACUAAGUCGUAACAAGGUAGCCGUACCGGAAGGUGCGGCUGGAUCACCUCCUUA
rnacentral:rRNA from 1 species